GGGGCCGUAGCUCAGUUGGGAGAGCGCUUGAAUGGCAUUCAAGAGGUCGUCGGUUCGAUCCCGUCCGGCUCCACCA
rnacentral:tRNA from 2 species